rnacentral:rRNA from 1 species
GAUGAACGCUGGCGGCGUGCCUAAUACAUGCAAGUCGAGCGAACAGACGAGGAGCUUGCUCCUCUGACGUUAGCGGCGGACGGGUGAGUAACACGUGGAUAACCUACCUAUAAGACUGGGAUACUUCGGGAAACCGGAGCUAAUACCGGAUAACAUGUUGAACCGCAUGGUUCAACAGUGAAAGACGGUCUUGCUGUCACUUAUAGAUGGAUCCGCGCCGCAUUAGCUAGUUGGUAAGGUAACGGCUUACCAAGGCAACGAUGCGUAGCCGACCUGAGAGGGUGAUCGGCCACACUGGAACUGAGACACGGUCCAGACUCCUACGGGAGGCAGCAGUAGGGAAUCUUCCGCAAUGGGCGAAAGCCUGACGGAGCAACGCCGCGUGAGUGAAGAAGGUCUUCGGAUCGUAAAACUCUGUUAUUAGGGAAGAACAAAUGUGUAAGUAACUAUGCACGUCUUGACGGUACCUAAUCAGAAAGCCACGGCUAACUACGUG